GGAAAANAGGGAGGAGGGGGGGGGANGAUGUCAGUUCAGNAUNACCCUUACANGUGGGGGGNAGAAACACAAUANANUGGCCGGAACAAAGGGACACCAAGUNGCGAGANGGAGCAAAUCCCAUCAAAGCCGGUCUCAGUUCGGAUAGCAGGCUGAAACUCGCCUGCUUGAAGCUGGAAUCGCUAGUAACGGUAGGUCAGCAUACUACNGUGAAUACGUUCCCGGGUCUNGAACACACCGCCCGUCAAACCAUGAUAGUCACCA
rnacentral:rRNA from 1 species